rnacentral:lncRNA from 1 species
GGCUUCCACUAUCUUCAAAAAGAUGAAGAAAAACCCAUUAUAAAGUGUGCUCAAAUGGUGCAAAACAAUUUAAAAGACAAUACAUAAAAUGGAAACAAAUUCCAAAACCAACUUUCUCUUUCAAAUCCUUAUCUUCUCAUACUUUAUCAGCAUUACUGCUGUAAGAGGCCUCAAUGAUAUUGCAAAUUUCUCUUCGUGCAAUGGUUCAAUAGCAGAUUGUGAUGAAGAAUUGGAGAUUUUAAUGGAGUCUGAGAUAAGCAGAAGAAUUCUUGAGAAUAAAAAAUACAUCUCACCAGGGGCUUUGAAAAGAGAUCAGCCAGUAUGCGAAGGUGGUGCCAGCGGCAAGCCGUACACGGGCAACAGUGGUUGUGUUCCUGCCCCGUCGAACACCCCCCGCAGAGAUUGCGAACAAUAUUAUCACUGUCGAGGUUAAUUAUGAAUGAUACAUACGAACUUGGUGAAGCUAUUUUAUAGAAGUUCAUUGAUAUCCGGGAUAAAUGUACUUGAACUAACUUAUGUCACACAUCGACACAACGCAUGUAUAAGUAACAUGUAUUUUCGUAUGUGCAUACACGAGUAUGUUUAGUAGUUUUCAUAAUAUCUUUACUUCAAAUAAAUUAAAUUGUAUGUUGUUUCCACUAUAUCUUGCUUAAAUUCCUAGUAAACUUAAGCGAUCCACUUGUGUGUGUAAUGAAUUGAGAAAUAAAAUAUUCGAUAGCAAGACCAAUA